GAUGAACGCUGGCGGCGUGCCUAAUACAUGCAAGUCGAGCGAACGGACGAGAAGCUUGCCUCUCUGAUGUUAGCGGCGGACGGGUGAGUAACACGUGGAUAACACACCUAUAAGACUGGGAUAACUUCCGGAAACCGGUGCUAAUAACGGAUAAUAUUCUGAAGCGCAUGGAUCAAAAGUGAAAGACGGUCUUGCUGUCACUUAUAGAUGGAUCCGCGCUGCAUUAGCUAGUUGGUAGGGUAACGGCUUACCAAGGCAACGAUGCAUAGCCGACCUGAGAGGGUGAUCGGCCACACUGGAACUGAGACACGGUCCAGACUCCUACGGGAGGCAGCAGUAGGGAAUCUUCCGCAAUGGGCGAAAGCCUGACGGAGCAACGCCGCGUGUGUGAUGAAGGUCUUCGGAUCGUAAAGCUCUUUUAUUGGGGAAGAAGAUAGGUGUAAUAAUCUGUGCACAUCUUGACGGUACCUGAUCAGGAAGCCCCGGCUAACUACGUG
rnacentral:rRNA from 1 species